UACGGAGGGGGCUAGCGUUGUUCGGAAUUACUGGGCGUAAAGCGCGCGUAGGCGGCUUUCUAAGUUUGGUGUGAAAUCUCCCGGCUUAACUGGGAGGGUGCGCCGAAAACUGGAAGGCUUGAGUAUGGGAGAGGUAAGCGGAAUUCCUGGUGUAGCGGUGAAAUGCGUAGAUAUCAGGAGGAACACCUGCGGUGUAGACGGCUUACUGGACCAUAACUGACGCUGAGGCACGAAAGCGUGGGUAGCAAACAGG
rnacentral:rRNA from 1 species